UCGUCGGCCAUGAUUUUCUCCCUCGUGGGAAUGAAAGCGAGAAACCCAGAUUCGAAUGGGUCUAGUCACGGUGAAGAUGAGACAAUCUAGAACGGAGAAGAAGAUUGGGUGACAAAGUUUCAGAGAUUGUAAAGAGGUGGUUUGUGAUUUGGUCGUUACUUUUAUCUUUUGCUUCUCAUUUUCGUUUGAUUUUGAAUUGAAUUUGUUGUUGGGUUUGUUUUUUUAUUUGUCUUCUUCUUGAUCAAAUCUGGUUUGAAUUGAAUCAAAGGAGUUUCGAUUUUGACAGAGCGAAUGGAGUUGUGACGAUGUUAACGUAGAUGCGGAAGAUGGCGGAGAAGAAGAAUAAGCUCAGAGGUGGGUAAGCAGAUCGGAGAUAAACCCUAAUCCUCAUUCAUGUGUUAGCAUUUGACGGGUAAUCAAAUCUUCGGGUCUAAUUUCACUCUCCAUAAGCUAUAAUUCAAAUUUGUGGUUUCUAGUUAAGUUGUGUUCGUAGUUGUGUCUCAGAUUCAGCUGUGAAGAGCUAAUGGACAUAAUUAAAGAAUUUAAGCAAUACAUACUUGGAGAAGCAGGGUUUAAAUCAUUAGACGUGUUGCUGUUAAUUGUGGAUUGUAUUCUAUUAAUUCUAUAUCUGAUGGGGUUGAUAAUGAUGACGAGUCUAAUGGGCAAGAAAAGCUUGAUCCUGACCCGGGAACAUAUUUUGUUAAUAGUAAGAAUGAGAAGGAAGGUGUUUAGGAGAAGGAGCUUGUAGGGUUGCAGGAGCAGUUUAAGUUAUUGACUGGUGAGAAUAAUUUGCAAGGUGAAGAUGGAAAUACUAAUGUGGUGAUUCUAUUUCUUCUUGCCUAGGGAGUUCAAAAGUGACGUGAGUACAAGCUCUAGAAUGUUUCUAACUCAUGUAGAAAGAAGUUAUCCAAUAAUACAGGCAAUUGAAAAGUAAAUGGCUGUCUUUUCUCAAGUACCAGCAGAAAAUGGAGAAGUUAAUCAAGUUCAAGGUGCG